AUUCCAUUAUGAGGGCAUUUUUGUAACAAUUCUUUAAAUCUUUCCCAUGCCUCAUACAAGGACUCGUCAACCAUCUGUUGGAAAGUAGUGAUUUCAUUUCACAACUU
rfam:Gossypium raimondii Chr11_contig_728, whole genome shotgun sequence.